ensembl:lncRNA
CUUCCUCCGUCGGCGGUUCUGGUGGCCAACCAUGGACGCGGACGUUCGUUUGUUUAUUUCGGCGUGUACCGUCUGCGCCCGGAAUAAAACCUCGACCCGUACUCGUUCUGGACUUCUGCGGCCCUACCCAUCCCUAGCCGUCCCUGGUCACACAUCACUCUGGACUUCGUCACCGGCCUGCCCACGUCCGAAGGAAACACCAGCAUCCUAACUGUGAUCGACCGCUUCUCUAAGGCUGCGCACUUCAUCGCACUCCCCAAGCUUCCAUCUUCAAAGGAGACCGCCGAUCUCCUGGUCAGACACGUCUUCCGUCUGCAUGGCAUCCCCACUGACAUCUCGGUGCCACGCCCAGUCUCUCCUCCGGUUUUCACCCCCAGUCGAAUGGACAGUCCGAGCGAGCUAACCAGGAGAUGGAAGCAGCUCUCCGCUGCAUCACCCACGCCAGUCCAUCCUCUUGGAACUCUCAGCUCCCCUGGGUCGAAUAUGGCCACAACACCCUGGUGAAGGACCUUUCAAGGGAGCUCCUCCCAAGCUUUCCCCCCGUUUCAUUGGUCCUUUCAAGAUCGAGACUGUGGUUAACCCCUGUGCUGUUCGCCUCAAACUCCCCCUGUCCCUCCGGGUGCACCCGACUUUCCAUGUCUCCCAGGUAAAGCCCGUCUCCACCAGCCCGUUGUCCCCUCCCGCCCCGCCUUCACCUCCUCCCAGGAUCAUUGACAACUUCCCGGCGUGGACGGUUCGUCGCCUCCUUGACGUGCGGCGCCGCGGCCGAGGACACCAGUACCUCGUCGACUGGGAGGGUUAUGGUCCUGAGGAGCGCUCCUGGGUUCCCCCGGAAUCGCAUUCUGGAUGCUUCACUCAUUCGGGACUACCAUCGCAAUCAUCCUUCUGUGGUUGGGCGUCCGCCAGGAGGCGUCCGUAGAGGGGGGGGUACUGUCACGCCACGGCCUGUCAAACGGUCCAACACCCCCAUCUAGUGGCCGCCUGGUGCCACUGGGCCUCACCUCCUCUGCACACCUGUUUGCGAUCUUCGAUAAACGUCCUCUUCUUAAGCCGGGGAUCACCAGUCUGCCGGCGCCAGUUCGUCGUUUAUCACUACUCAGUAUUCAAGCCAUGCACCUGAAAUCAAUUGGAUAUACCACAUUCAGAAGGAAUGCACAGACUUAUUUGGAGCCAGCAGUGAUCCACAAAUGGCAUCAGCUUCAGGAAGAGGAAUUGCAGUUUCUGAGCCAGAGAAAGGUUAAAAUUGGCGAAAAUAUAUGAGGGCAGACUCACCAGGCACCAAAGCCCUCUAUAAAGUGGAAAAAAUCCUUACAAACAAGAGGGUCCUGGCUGAUGUGGAAAAGCUGAGCUCAAAGUACCAGACCUCAACACUGAAAGCUUUCCACAGUGUUAUUUUGCGUUUUACUCAAUUUCCCAAAAGCAAAAAAAGGAGCGUCUUCGGUGAAAGCAGUAAAAACACAACCGACACACUUAGUUGCUAUAUCUUCAGCCUGAUGCAUCUCCUCUUUGAAAAGGUAGUCCCUAACCCCCUGCCCUACUUGGAGGAACGUCCGAAGAUUCCUGUGCCCAGUUCCCUAUUGUCCCAACACGAACAUCCACCCUUAGAAGACGCUAUUGCGGCCUAUGUAUCUCGCUUUAGAGUGGAGGAGGUUUAAAUCCAACAUAUUGGCCUUCUGCAUCAGGGAACUCCCUGCGUAUGUGUUGGACCACACAAGAGGAGGGGAUGACAACACGUAUCUUCCUGCCAAGAUAUCCCCAGCACCAGCUUACAAAUGGAAUGUAGGUCAAGUACCUGCAACGGCUGUCAAAAAGCAGAGGACAUUUAGGUGAGUCAAUCUAUGAAAAAAAAGGGCUUAACCCCAAAAAAAUUGAUAGGAAAAGGUUUUUCAAUGGAUUCUAGUAGUAUUUGGUGUGCUGAAUAACAUACUAAAAGUAUAC